GACGAACGCUGGCGGCGUGCUUAACACAUGCAAGUCGAACGAAGAGCGAUGGACGCUUGCUUCUAUCAAUCUUAGUGGCGAACGGGUGAGUAACGCGUAAUCAACCUGCCCUUCAGAGGGGGACAACAGUUGGAAACGACUGCUAAUACCGCAUACGAUCUAAUCUCGGCAUCGAGGAUAGAUGAAAGGUGGCCUCUACAUGUAAGCUAUCACUGAAGGAGGGGAUUGCGUCUGAUUAGCUAGUUGGAGGGGUAACGGCCCGCCAAGGCGAUGAUCAGUAGCCGGUCUGAGAGGAUGAACGGCCACAUUGGGACUGAGACACGGCCCAGACUCCUACGGGAGGCAGCAGUGGGGAAUCUUCCGCAAUGGACGAAAGUCUGACGGAGCAACGCCGCGUGAGUGAUGACGGCCUUCGGGUUGUAAAGCUCUGUUAAUCGGGACGAAAGGCCUUCUUGCGAAUAGUGAGAAGGAUUGACGGUACCGGAAUAGAAAGCCACGGCUAACUACGUG
rnacentral:rRNA from 1 species